GUCACCAUCUUGUACUCCUGUACUUCUUAUAGUUUUCUUCUUAAGUGAAAUAUUCAUUUGCAAUCUCUCUGCUGCAGUUGAUUCUGACCCCUCUCCAUCUCUGAAGGAGCACAUAAUUGUGACAGAGGACUGAGCUGGAGACCAAGACGAAUCCCAGCAGCAACCUACCGUUACAGCAUGGUGGUACAAAUCUCUCUUUGGGAGGACAAGAAAAGAUACUAUACAACAGUUCUCGCGACAAAUGAGGUGUACGGUGGUCUCUUUGCUGGUCGACAACAAGUGAAGAGGCCGAUGCGGGACAGGGAGAACAAGAACUCCUGCGACUAAUAGAGAGGAUGCCAACGCCAUGAAGCGGCUUGAGCCAAUGUUGAUGAGGCUUCACGCUUAGAACUAAUGCAUCACAAGGCUAAAGGAUUGGCUCAGCCAUAUUGGAGUUCAGGUAUCCUACCUUGAAAUCCAUAACUCAAGAAGUGCCACAGGAUAAUAUGAAGUUUCUCCUGCUACAUGAGAACAUAAUCAAAAGGAUGCCCGGGUUUUAUAUUCAGUCUUCGUUCCCACUGGGUUCCCUGUCCUGCAUUUGCAUGUGAUAGAUUAAAUUUCUACAUGGUUGUUAAUUUUUAGGCCUGUUAUUAGUCCAUCUGCGUAGGUUCUUUUUAUUCUGUUUGGGACAUUGUGUGAUUCCUCUGUGUUUAUUAAUUGUUCAGCUCUACCUCUUAUUUAUUCGGUAGUGUGACUUGUAUGUGUACCACAGUUAUGUAGAUAAAGGAAUUUAUCUCAUCCCUUUAGGUAUUCACACGUGACUAAGUAACAAUUCUUGCGCUUAUGCUCAGUAGUUGGAUAUGCUUAGGUCUGCAUCACAAACUGUGUAGAGCUUUCUUCGAAUAUGUAUAUAUUUUGUUAGUUCGUUGGUUUGUCAGUUCCUUCAAAGCAAAUGGUUUGAAAGAAUUACUUAUGUAACUCUUUUAGUUUCUAUUCACAUGAUGGUGCUUGUAACACUUUGGUUGUCCAUGUUACUGCUGCCGUUUGUUGGUUCUUGCUACCAUUUGUUUAAAUUUCUGAUGUUGUCAUUGGCAUUAUUUACUGCAGCUAGGAGGCUAAUGUAACUUUGUAACCAGUUGUGUCUUUGUGCAGUCUAGCAAGGCUGCAUUGAUUGUCUGCGAUCAUACAAUUCUAAGUUCAAUUUUCAGAGGCAAACUCAUAAG